AACGAACGCUGGCGGCAUGCCUAACACAUGCAAGUCGAACGAGACCUUCGGGUCUAGUGGCGCACGGGUUCGUAACGCGUGGGAACCUGCCCUUAGGUUCGGAAUAACUCCCCGAAAGGGGUGCUAAUACCGGAUAAUGUCUUCGGACCAAAGAUUUAUCGCCUUUGGAUGGGCCCGCGUUGGAUUAGCUGGUUGGUAGGGUAAAAGCCUACCAAGGCGACGAUCCAUAGCUGGUCUGAGAGGAUGAUCAGCCACACUGGGACUGAGACACGGCCCAGACUCCUACGGGAGGUAGCAGUGGGGAAUAUUGGACAAUGGGCGAAAGCCUGAUCCAGCAAUGCCGCGUGAGUGAUGAAGGCCUUAGGGUUGUAAAGCUCUUUUACCCGGGAUGAUAAUGACAGUACCGGGAGAAUAAGCUCCGGCUAACUCCGUG
rnacentral:rRNA from 1 species